rnacentral:rRNA from 1 species
UACGAAGGGGGCUAGCGUUGCUCGGAAUCACUGGGCGUAAAGCGCACGUAGGCGGCUUCUUAAGUCAGGGGUGAAAUCCUGGAGCUCAACUCCAGAACUGCCUUUGAUACUGAGGAGCUUGAGUCCGGGAGAGGUGAGUGGAACUGCGAGUGUAGAGGUGAAAUUCGUAGAUAUUCGUAAGAACACCAGUGGCGAAGGCGGCUCACUGGCCCGGUACUGACGCUGAGGCACGAAAGCGUGGGGGGCAAACAGG